UACAGAGGUCUCAAGCGUUGUUCGGAUUCAUUGGGCGUAAAGGGUGCGUAGGCGGUGCGGUGAGUCGGGUGUGAAAUCUCGGAGCUUAACUCCGAAACUGCAUUCGAUACUGCCGUGCUUGAGGACUGGAGAGGAGACUGGAAUUUACGGUGUAGCGGUGAAAUGCGUAGAUAUCGUAAGGAAGACCAGUGGCGAAGGCGGGUCUCUGGACAGUUCCUGACGCUGAGGCACGAAGGUCAGGGGAGCAAACGGG
rnacentral:rRNA from 1 species